rnacentral:rRNA from 1 species
CCUGGUGGUUAUGGCGUGGAGGAAACACACGAUCCCAUCCCGAACUCGAACGUGAAACUCCACAGCGCCGAUGGUACUUCGUCUUAAGACGCGGGAGAGUAGGUCACCGCCAGGU